UCUUGGUCUCAUGGUUUACUGGAAUAAUUACGUACCUCUUGUGUUGAAGAUAGUCAGUUUAAACUUGCCAGUUACGACCUCAUUGGCACCGAGGGCGGAAUAUGCGGUCUCGUCCUCGGUUUCAGUACUUCUCCACUCUCCGACUUCACGAACGAAAAAACCUCAGGGUGAAACUAGAAGGAAGUAUCCAAGUGAUCCGUGUACAAGAUCCAGUACCAAAAUCGUGGCUACUGGACUGGGGCAUUCUGAUGCUGUCCAAUUACAGAUGUGGACUCGUCCGAGCGGACUCGAAUGAUCUCCGUGAAAAGUUCAGCACUUCUCAUCACACUCAGUUAUCAUCGGUGGGGCGCAGUCGCUGUGACGUAUACCGAAGCUGAAGUUUGGAGCACACUUGUGGCACUUGUAGCAGUACAUGUACUUCGGAC
rnacentral:lncRNA from 1 species